rnacentral:rRNA from 1 species
UACGAAGGGGGCGAGCGUUGUUCGGAUUUACUGGGCGUAAAGGGCGCGCAGGCGGUCAUUUUUGUCGAGUGUGAAAGCCCCGGGCUUAACCUGGGAACUGCGCUCGAAACGGGAUGACUAGAGAUCGGGAGAGGAGAGUGGAAUUCCCAGUGUAGAGGUGAAAUUCGUAGAUAUUCGCAAGAACACCAGUGGCGAAGGCGGCUCACUGGCCCGGUACUGACGCUGAGGCACGAAAGCGUGGGGAGCAAACAGG